rnacentral:rRNA from 1 species
UACGUAGGGUGCAAGCGUUAAUCGGAAUUACUGGGCGUAAAGCGUGCGCAGGCGGUUAUAUAAGACAGUUGUGAAAUCCCCGGGCUCAACCUGGGAACUGCAUCUGUGACUGUAUAGCUAGAGUACGGUAGAGGGGGAUGGAAUUCCGCGUGUAGCAGUGAAAUGCGUAGAUAUGCGGAGGAACACCGAUGGCGAAGGCAAUCCCCUGGACCUGUACUGACGCUCGUGCACGAAAGCGUGGGGGAGCAAACAGG